AUUAGAUGAGCCUAUAUUAGAUUAGCUAGUUGGUGGAGUAAUAGCCUACCAAGGCAAUGAUCUAUAGCUGAUCUGAGAGGAUGAUCAGCCACACUGGAACUGAGAUACGGUCCAGACUCCUACGGGAGGCAGCAGUGGGGAAUAUUGGACAAUGGGCGAAAGCCUGAUCCAGCCAUGCCGCAUGAGUGAAGAAGGCCUUUGGGUUGUAAAGCUCUUUUAGUGAGGAAGAUAAUGACGGUAAUCACAGAAGAAGUCCUGGCUAACUCCGUGCCAGCAGCCGCGGUAAUACGGAGAGGGCUAGCGUUUUUCGGAAUUAUUGGGCGUAAAGGGCGCCUAGGCUUAUUAAUAAGGUAAAAGCGAAAUCCUGAGGCUUAACCUUGGAAUUGCUUUCAAAGGUAUUAAUCUAGAGAUUGAAAGAGGAUAGAGGAAUUCCUGAUGUAGAGGUAAAAUUCGUAAAUAUUAGGAGGAACACCAGUGGCGAAGGCGUCUAUCUGGUUCAAAUCUGACGCUGAAGCGCGAAGGCGUGGGGAGCAAACAGGAUUAGAUACCCUGGUAGUCCACGCUAUAAACGAUGAAUGUUAAAUAUGGGAAG
rnacentral:rRNA from 1 species